rnacentral:lncRNA from 1 species
AAGAGAGUUGGGUAGAAAGCUUCCAAGAAUGGGGUGGUUUAGCCUCUUAUGCUUAAUUAUACAAAAAUAAAUGAAAGUGUAUGGAGGAAUGAAAGGAAGGUGUGUGUAGAGGAAGGCAAUGGCUCCUAAUCGGUGUUUUUCUCCCUGCCUUCAGCUCUAGGUUUUCUUUUUUAUCUCCAAUUCCCCAUCUUUUUCCUCCAAUUUCUCACUUAAACACCACUCCACUCUGAGUUUUUGCAAUUUCCACCUAAGCAUGAGUAAGUGACUAUGCGCUAAGCGUGUCUUCACAUGGCUUCAAGUUCUGCAAGCAGCUUCCUUUCGCUAAACGAAAUCUUCCCACUAAGUUGCUUCAGCGGGAUGAGCGAGCCUAGUGCGCUAAGCGGAAAUCUUUAGGCCUCAACUUCUCUUCCAAUCCCUCAUUUGUGUAUCUACAAAACAAAUACCACCAAAAUAGUAUAAAUCUAACAUAUAUGUCAUGAUUCACACAAAAAGAAGCAAUAAAAGAGGAGAAAAUUGAUAAUUCCUAUGUCUUAAUUACAAAAUAUACUUAUGCACAUCAAUUAUCAAUUAGUAUCUACAACUUCAUAUCUGAUAUGAAAAGAGUUAGAAUGAGUCUCAAACACAACAAGACUUGGAAUUGUCCCACUUACAUUAAGAGAUUGCAAAUAGACAAACUUGAGGUAAUGUCUAUGAAAUGUAGAUUCAUUGGGUAUCCCAAAGAAAUUAUGGGAUGUUAUUUAAGCCAACCUUCUAAUCGAAAAAUGUUUAUGGCAAGAAGAGCUAUUUUUUUUUUUUCGAAAGGAAAUUUCUUGCAAGAGGAAGUCAUGGUAAAGAAAUUGAACUUGAUAAAACUCAAUUAACCAAUGAAACAACUCAGGACUAUGCGAUGGAAACUGAUAUACCUUUCUUUAAUGUUCUAAAGUUACCACAAAGGUCACCACCUUCAAUAAUAGUAGUUUAAGAGCCAACUAUAGCUCAAGAUCAGGUUAAUGAACCAAUCUUAGAGCCAAUUCAGCAACCUAUGAACCCGAUGCAUGAGCUUUCUAGAAAAUCUACUCGAGUUCACUGUGCACCUGAUAGAUUAAACUUAAUGGUCCUAGAUGACACAUCAAAUGAGGUAUAUCAUGAUGAUGAUGAUCUAAGAAGCUAUGAAGAGGCUAUACAAAGCUUGGAUUGUAAGAAAUUGCUAGCAACUAUGGAAUUUGAAAUAAAAUCAAUGAAGAUCAACAAAGUAUGGACUUUAGUUGAACCUUCAAAGGAUAUAAAACCAAUUGGUUGUAAAUGGGUUUACAAGAAAAAGAUGGAAGCAUAUUUGAAGGCUGAAACCUACAAAGCUUGUCUAGUUGCCAAGGGAUAUUGUCAAAAGGAAGGUAUAGAUUAUGAUGAAACUUUUCUCCCAUGGCAAUGCUCAAAUCAAUUCGGAUUCUUCUUGCAAUAGUAAGCAUUCUAUGAUCAUGAAACAUGAAAUGGAUGUGGAAAAUGACUUUCCUUAAUGGUGAGCUAAAAGAAGAUGUGUAUAUGACACAACCUGAGGGAUUCACAUCCUUGUCUGAUCAUAAUAAAGUCUACAAGUUGUAACGAUUCAUUUAUGGAUUGAAACAAGUGUGUAGAAGUUGAAGCAUUAAUUUAAACAAGAUAAUUGAAUUUGUUAUAUUUUUUUAUUGUUUAAUUGAUAUUUGGUGACGCUGGUUUGUAACACUAGCACUAAAUUUGGCAAUGAUUCCACUUCUUUGGUUAAUUCAUGUCAGGUUACUCAAAACAUAUAUAAAGUAAUGCAAAAUAAGGGUAAACUUUUAAUAUGGACAAAAUGAAACAAACUCUAGCACCAACGAGAUUGAACCAACUUACCUGGAGAAUUGACAAGACUGAAUCAAUCCCAUCCAAGGU